rnacentral:lncRNA from 1 species
GACGCGCGAAAUAUUUUAAUUUUCAACUCGGUAUAAUUUUAUUAGACUCUGAAAAAUUUUGUUAUAAUAUUAGAAAGUUAUUGAGGCUAUUAAUUGCUUGUGUUGGGUAGUUUAAAAAUAAAUCAAAUUGAAUUGUUUGGAUUGUGGUGUUUUGGAGUCGGGAAAAUAUUAAUGCAGUUCUUGUGGCCCGGCUCCUGUUAUUAAUUUCCAGCAUGUCUGAUAUGUUUUUGGCAGGUCCUGGACCCGUUUUACGGGGGGUAAAUAUCCGUAAUUUAGGGGAGGUUCUGUCAAAUUUUCGGCAGAAUCCUCGAGUCCAAUUUAAUUCUAGGCAGUCGACCUUAGGGUCUAAGUUUAGGAAAAAUGUUCGAAUGUCUAUUAAUUGUAUGUCUUUUGUUAUUAGAUAAUUCAGCCUUCCCGCCAGCUCCACCCGAGGCGUAGGAGCGGACUGUGGAACGCAUCAAAUCUGUGAGUUAAAGUCAUUUAAUCUUUGCGCUAUUGCUAGUCUGAUUUUAAUAUGCUAUUUAGAAUUUGUGCUUAAUAUGAUUAUUAGUAUCGCAAGGUAAAUGAUUUCACUUGAUUAUUAAUAUUUGAAAUAAUAUAAAUAUUAUUAUUAGUAUGUUAUAAUAAGAUAAGCGUUAUUAUUUUUCCCCUCGCAAAUUGCACGUUGUUUUACCUUAAAUCUUUAAUCUUUAUUUCGAUAUGUGUUGGUUGAGUUCAUCAGAUAAUGAUAUUUCUUAUAUGUGAUGAUUGCGAAUUGGGAAAUGUGGCUUGUAGAACAUGCCGCCUGAUGGGUUACAUCAGGACCGCGUGCGCACCGGUAAUGAUCAUGGACAUGUAAUAAGAUAUUUAUGGGUAUGCCCUGGUCGAGCAUGGCUCUCUGGGCUGAUUUGUGUAAAUUGCCGGAGGUAAGGUCCCUGGUCGAGCAUUGCUCUCGGGGCGCCGGCUUAUUUGGAUAUUUAAGUGACCAGACUGGAGGUAAGGUCCCUGGUCGAGCAUUGCUCUCGGGGCGCCAGUCUUAUUGGAUUAAGAGAGCCGAAUGGCUACUAGAUUUCUUAUUUGGAUAUUUAAGUGACCAGACUGGAGGCAAGGUCCCUGGUCGAGCAUUGCUCUCGGGGCGCCAGUCUUAUUGGAUUAAGAGAGCCAAAGUGGCUGUUAGAAUUUGGGGUUAGGGUUCUACUUAGCCACACGUCCCGUGAAAGUAAAAAUGUCUUUAUUUAUUUACACUCUCCUUUUAUCAUUUUAUUAUUAUGGUGUAUGAUUUUAUAUUAUGACUGCAAUUAUAUUCAGAAAUUGGUAUAUUGUUUUGAAUAAUUAAUAUAUCAUGUGAAGGUUGCAAAAGCCCUUAGAUUAUUUGAUUUUGACUCACUCUCGAGACUGACAGUCUCAGUUGUAAUUCUUUUCAGGUGACAGUUAAAGACUUUCGCCUUCGCACAUUCGACAGUCCGACUUCUUCUUUUUCGGACUUUUGUAAUUAUCUUGUACUUGUAUACUUGUCAUUUUUACUCUAGAGUAUCCGCAGUAGGAAAUUUUAAAAUUUGUAUAACUAUUCUGACUCUUGUUGGUAGUUUGAUGAUGUAUUAUGCAAGACAAUUAUGACUAUUUUAUAUUUGGAUUUGCGGGUUGGUAAGGCUUACUACGGGUUUCGGUGGCCUUAAGCCUACCCAUUCCCUAGUGCCGGUCAC